rnacentral:rRNA from 1 species
CACGUAGGGGGCGAGCGUUGUCCGGAUUCAUUGGGCGUAAAGGGCGCGCAGGCGGCCCGGAAGGUCGGAUGUGAAAACUCGAGGCUCAACCUCGAGCGCGCACCCGAUACUGCCGGGCUUGAGGCAGGUAGGGGAGAUCGGAAUUCCUGGUGUAGCGGUGAAAUGCGCAGAUAUCAGGAGGAACACCGGUGGCGAAGGCGGAUCUCUGGGCCUGUCCUGACGCUGAGGCGCGAAAGCUAGGGGAGCGAACAGG